CAGUAGCCGCGGGAACACGUAGGUGGCAAGCGUUGUCCGGAAUUAUUGGGCGUAAAGGGCUCGCAGGCGGUUUCUUAAGCCUGAUGUGAAAGCCCCCGGCUCAACCGGGGAGGGUCAUUGGAAACUGGGGAACUUGAGUGCAGAAGAGGAGAGUGGAAUUCCACGUGUAGCGGUGAAAUGCGUAGAGAUGUGGAGGAACACCAGUGGCGAAGGCGACUCUCUGGUCUGUAACUGACGCUGAGGAGCGAAAGCGUGGGGAGCGAACAGGAUUAGAUACCCGGGUAGUCCCUGUCUCUUAUAC
rnacentral:rRNA from 1 species